rnacentral:rRNA from 1 species
UACGGGGGGGGCAAGCGUUGUUCGGAAUUACUGGGCGUAAAGGGCUCGUAGGCGGCCAACUAAGUCAGACGUGAAAUCCCUCGGCUUAACCGGGGAACUGCGUCUGAUACUGGAUGGCUUGAGUGUGGGAGAGGGAUGCGGAAUUCCAGGUGUAGCGGUGAAAUGCGUAGAUAUCUGGAGGAACACCGAUGGCGAAGGCAGCCUCCUGGGCUAGUACUGACGCUCAUGCACGAAAGCGUGGGGAGCAAACAGG